GACGAACCGAGCGAACGUUGUUCGGAAUCACUGGGCUUAAAGGGCGCGUAGGCGGGCUGCCAAGUUUGGGGUGAAAUCCUCCGGCUCAACCGGGGAAGUGCCUCGAAUACUGGCGGUCUGGAGGGAGGUAGGGGCGUGCGGAACUGUGGGUGGAGCGGUGAAAUGCGUUGAUAUCCACAGGAACUCCGGUGGCGAAGGCGGCACGCUGGACCUUUUCUGACGCUGAGGCGCGAAAGCCAGGGGAGCGAACGGG
rnacentral:rRNA from 1 species